CUACCCAUGAGCAGGAUGAAGCGAAAGUAAAAUUUCGUGGAGGUCCGAACCCACGAGCGUUGAAAAGCUCGGGGAUGACUUGUGGGUAGCGGUGAAAUUCCAAUCGAGCCCGGAGAUAGCUGGUUCUCCCCGAAAUAGCUUUAGGGCUAGCCUCAAGGUGAGAGAUACGGAGGUAGAGCACUGAAUGUCCUAGGGGGUAUUGCACCUACCGAAGACUAUCAAACUCCGAAUGCCGUCAUCUUAUACUUGGGAGUCAGACUGUGGGUGAUAAGAUUCAUAGUCGAAAGGGCAACAGCCCAGAUCGUCAGCUAAGGUCCCUAAAUGUAAGUUAAGUGGUAAAGGAUGUGGGAUUGCACAGACAACCAGGAUGUUGGCUUAGAAGCAGCCACUCAUUCAAAGAGUGCGUAAUAGCUCACUGGUCGAGUGAUCCUGCGCCGAAGAUUUCCGGGGCUAAAACUUACUACCGAAGCUACGGCAUCAGUAAUGAGGGGUAGGGGAGCUUCCCAUACGGGUUGAAGCAUGACCGUAAGGACAUGGGGACAGUAUGGGAGUGAGAAUGUUGGCAUGAGUAGCGAGAUGUGGGUGAGAAGCCCACAGGCCGUAAACCCAAGGUUUCCAGGGGAAGGUUCGUCCGCCCUGGGUUAGUCGGGACCUAAGCUGAGGC
rnacentral:rRNA from 1 species